rnacentral:lncRNA from 1 species
CUACCUGAGGGUGCAGCUCUGGGAUGCCAGUUGGCCUCAGUCCCCAGCCCCUGCUCUGAACCAUCUGGCAGUUAUUCAUGGCAGGACAAGCAGGCCAAGGGGCACCAGCCUCUGGAAGUGGACCGUCCUUCUGGAGAAGAGGGCCUGGAGACCCACCCUGAGCUGCCGUCUCAGAGGAUGAGCCAUCAGACAUUGCCACAGGGAAGGGGUGGGAAGUGGUCAUCCUCGGGACUCCAAGCUGACUUUUUUGACCUCGUUAUGGAGAUGACGGGCUGGACUAACUGCGGGAUGGAGUGCUUGUGCAGACCAGAUCACGGAGGAUGGAAGCUGUGGUGUGAGUGACUCUGGCUCCUAGUGACAGCGCUGGAGGGACAGGACAGAGAGCUGCCCUCAGACCUCGGGGCGCCAUCCCCCGUGACCUCGCUGCCCCCUCCCUCUCCCCAGCGAGUGCAAACACAGCUGGUCACGGACUUUUGCUGCGGGAGGUGUUUUCCCCGAGCUGAUAGGAUCAACCUGUUCUUUACCUCAAACCUGUUUUUAAAAGGACUUUCCUGUUUUUUUUUUCUUUCUUUAAUUGCAG